rnacentral:rRNA from 1 species
AUUGAACGCUGGCGGCAGGCCUAACACAUGCAAGUCGAGCGGAUGAAGGGAGCUUGCUCCUGGAUUCAGCGGCGGACGGGUGAGUAAUGCCUAGGAAUCUGCCUGGUAGUGGGGGAUAACGUCCGGAAACGGGCGCUAAUACCGCAUACGUCCUGAGGGAGAAAGUGGGGGAUCUUCGGACCUCACGCUAUCAGAUGAGCCUAGGUCGGAUUAGCUAGUUGGUGGGGUAAAGGCCUACCAAGGCGACGAUCCGUAACUGGUCUGAGAGGAUGAUCACUCACACUGGAACUGAGACACGGUCCAGACUCCUACAGGAGGCAGCAGUGGGGAAUAUUGGACAAUGGGCGAAAGCCUGAUCCAGCCAUGCCGCGUGUGUGAAGAAGGUCUUCGGAUUGUAAAGCACUUUAAGUUGGGAGGAAGGGCAGUAAGUUAAUACCUUGCUGUUUUGACGUUACCAACAGAAUAAGCACCGGCUAACUUCGUG